GGGUCGGAAAAAACAAGGAUCCGCGUGUUUUUCUGGAUCCUUUAUAAUUGUAUUCGGAUGGCUCUUUAUAAUUGAUCACUAAUUGAGAAACGAAACCCUUUUCAAAAUAAUUAUAAACCUAGAUGUUGUUGCGCGACUCACAAUUCUAUGGAUCAAGCGGAGGAGGCGGCAGUUCUUUAUCGUGUUUUUAUUGGAUUAAGAUCAACUCCAUUGAUAAAACCAAUCGCGACCCUAGAGCUGUUUGAUCCGGUGGCUGGUAGGAUAUUACGGCGUUUGGUAUGGCUUUGCGUUGGCUUGGACAGAAGAAGAACCACGAGACUGCUUUCAUUUCGUAAUUGGAUCUCCCUGAGGAUGAUUAGGCUUGCAAGCAUGACAGAUACGGAACAUGUUUCCACUUCUCCAACCAAACCAUUUAGCUGCUGAAGAAUUUCUUCUCAAACCAACCAUUUAGCUGAUGAAGCAUUUGUUAAAUCCUCAAGUUCAGAGUCUUCUUGAAAAGUUGGCCACAACACACCGAACAGUAGGAUUAUUUCUAGAGAAAGAAAAAAGAGGAUACAACAAAAGCUUGAACGGUCUCACGUGACGCUUGCCCACAAGAAAAGUCACGACGUAGCAGCUAUAGCCAGCUAUGGCGGACCUGUGGAUGGGAAAGCAUAGUCUCUAAGAACGAGU